rnacentral:tRNA from 1 species
CCAUUGCUCAGUGGUUGAGCAUCUGCUUGGCAUGCAGAUGGUCUUACGUUCAAUCCCCAGCACAGAAGGA